rnacentral:lncRNA from 12 species
AGAGAGAGAAAGGGCCGAUGAGAACCGAUUGGGCACGGAUGGGGGAAAAGAGCCCAUUCCGCGCGCGCACCGCACCAGCGCUCCUCUUUGCCGAGAAAAAAAAGGGCCAGGCCCGCGAGAGCCGAGAGAGAGAGAAAGAAAAAAGGGGAGAGAGAAGCCCAGAGAGAGAAAGAGAGAGCGCGCGCUGUGCGAGGAAAAGGCCGAGAGAGAAACGAAGGGGAGUAAAAAGGCUCGCGUUGUCCGAAGGAAAAAACCAAAAAAUACAGCUGCGCAGCGGUCCCGGCUCCUUGCCCGUGGCGUCACGGGAAGGGCCGGCCGCCGGGGUCGGCCGUCGCCGAGGGCAAUCCCGCCUCCCCCGCCGCCCGGCGGGUGGGGGUAGCUCUCUGCGCGUGGCGCCGUUCCCCGCCCCAGGCGCCGGUGGGCCGCGAUGUCGCCGGCCGCCGCCGCCGGUGCCCGUCGCUGCCAUGCCGCCACGGUGGCCGUGUCCCCGUGGUCGUGCGCCGCUGCCCGCGCGGGCGGGAGCGGCGAAAAAGAGCCGCGGGGCGGUCUCUCUCUCAGGGUGUUGUCGUCGUUGGCAUGGGCAGGGCGUUCGCCGGCGGGCCGGGCGCGUCCGGGCUGGCGCGCGGCGCCGCGGCGCCGCCGUGGGUGGCGGCUACCUGGUUGAUCCUGCCAGUAGCAUAUGCUUGUCUCAAAGCUUAAGCCAGAAAUUCCCCCAAAAAAUCACAAACACCCAAAAAUCCCCAUGGCUUGGAAAUAUGCUGAUAAAUCUUCGAGAUGUGACAAAGGUGGACAUAAAUGACAGAACAUAGACACAGAUUACGUAAGAGACGCCAGUUAUUUAGCCAGAGCUGGAAGGAACUGGAGCAGCCAUCAAGUGGAGCAUCUGAGAGCCAGAGCUGGAAUGAAGAAGGUGCCAAAGUCAGAGCUGGAGGUUCAGCAAGCUGGGCUGGGAAACACCUGCAAGUGAAAUAAGGAGAAGGAACAGAAAACCAGGAACAGCUCUCAUGCAGAGGGUCCAUCGGCUGGAGCUGUAACAGGCACAGGUGUCCCUGAGGGAAAGCUGAGCUUACCUGCAGCUGCAGCAGGAACAUCUUGUGGCUGGAUAAGUGCACCCUGGACUCCGAGCCAGGUGCAGGCGUGGAUGUCCCUAACCAGGAGCUCUGAGCAGCGGGGAGCCCAGCCUCUUCCAUGGGGGACUGAAGCCAUGCCAAGUGCUAAUCUCUUCAUGGAGGCAUCUCCCAGUCCCAUCCCUGAGAGCAGAAGGGAGGCAGGGGCUCUCCUGGGGACGUGGUGCAGCAGCAUCUCCUCUGUCUCUGCACAAAGGGGUCAGUCAGCAUCGCCAGGGUGCGCAGCACAGCCCCACACAACCCACAGGAGAUGCCUGUCCCCCUCCCAGGCAGGGGCAACCCCUUCCCUGCCUGCUGCCCCUCAGCUUUGGGCACCCAAUAUUCCCCCAAUACAAUCUAAAAAACUCUUUAAAAAUUAUUUCAAAACCCCCCUAAACACCCCAAAAUCCCCCAAAUUUCCCCAAACUCAGCGAGCAGCAGCAUGAACCCUGUUGGCACCUGUCGCAAGUAGAGUCUGGCUACCAUGGCUUGGAAAUAUGCUGAUAAAUCUUCGAGAUGUGACAAAGGUGGACAUAAAUGACAGAACAUAGACACAGAUUACGUAAGAGACGCCAGUUAUUUAGCCAGAGCUGGAAGGAACUGGAGCAGCCAUCAAGUGGAGCAUCUGAGAGCCAGAGCUGGAAUGAAGAAGGUGCCAAAGUCAGAGCUGGAGGUUCAGCAAGCUGGGCUGGGAAACACCUGCAAGUGAAAUAAGGAGAAGGAACAGAAAACCAGGAACAGCUCUCAUGCAGAGGGUCCAUCGGCUGGAGCUGUAACAGGCACAGGUGUCCCUGAGGACGAGCUGAGCUUACCUGCAGCCGCAGCAGGAACAUCUCGUGGCUGGAUCCGGAAUAUGCGCACCUUGGACUUACCUGCAGCUGCAGCAGGUACAUCUUGUGGCUGGAUAAGUGCACCCUGGACUCCGAGCCAGGUGCAGGCGUGGAUGUCCCUAACCAGGAGCUCUGAGCAGCGGGGAGCCCAGCCUCUUCCAUGGGGGACUGAAGCCAUGCCAAGUGCUAAUCUCUUCAUGGAGGCAUCUCCCAGUCCCAUCCCUGAGAGCAGAAGGGAGGCAGGGGCUCUCCUGGGGAUGUGGUGCAGCAGCAUCUCCUGUGUCUCUGCACAAAGGGGGUCAGUCAGCACCCCCAGGGUGCACAGCACAGCCCCACAUAACCCACAGGAGAUGGCUGUCCCUCUCCCAGACAGGGGCAACCCCUUCUGUCCCUGCUGCCCCUCGCUUUGGGCACAGACUACCCAGUGCUGUGCACCAAGGAUGGGGUGGGGAGGGAGAAAUGACAAUAGGAAGGCUCAGUAUUCAGCCAAAAAAAUGCACGUCUCCAGCCAGAAGAGCAGAGGAGGAGGCACAGAUUGCUGCAACCCCUCUGCCCAGCAAGGGCCAUUUUGGGAACCAGCCACCAAACAAUACUGGGGCUGAGGGCGGGCUGUGCCCACCCAGGGCCUGACCCAGCCCAGCACCUUCACCGGCUACUCUCGCCCUGCCCCGGAGCAGGACUGGGGAGCCACGGACUGCGCCGCACAUCCCAAUAAACAUCGCUGAGCCAGGCACGGCACAAACCCCAUCCCAGCCUGAACGUGCCACAGGGUGUGUUCAUCAAACACAGCUGAGCCAAGCCCAACACUGAAUAUCAAAUGAAACAGGCCACCAAGGGCCCCGGACAACCAGAAGCCCUCUGGCAGGGGCAGCAAGACAGGAUCGUCCCCAGCCUGUCCAUGACCAGAAGCCAAACCAGCAGCAGCACGCGCUGGGUGGUUGCUGAAGGUGUGGGGAGAAGCCACCCUUGGGCAGCUCUUGGUGCAGCACCUUCUCUCAGCUCUCUUCACAGCCCUGGCUCCCGCAACUGUGGGGCACAGCUGAAUCCCAGCCCCAGUUCCUGUCCUGAUCCCCCUGCAGUCAGGGCCCUGUCCAGCAGCACUGCCAGUGCAGCCCCAAACCACACCACAAUAGGACAGGCCACAUGACCAGAAACCACAAGCACAAACAUUUUGCUCCCGAGGCACAACGCAGAGGCCGGGCACAGCCCCGACCCUGGCCCUGCUGCUGCCUGGCAGUGCUGCCAACCCCAAACUGGCCCGCAGCAGGGCCAGCACCAGGAGCCACCGGCACAGUGCGUUCUUCUCAGCCACGGCCAGGCCAGAGCACUCACCUGGGCUCACUGUCCCGUGCCAGCCUCUUUUGGUGCCAUGCUGGGGCCAUGCUCCUCAGCUGGGCUCAUCCUCCCGAGUCAGUGUGCCCAGUUGGGGCCGUGUCCCAGCCCAAGCCCCUCGGCCAGUCCCCUGUGCUGUUUCCUGCAUGGAGACAGUCCCUGGGGAGGAAGAUGCUGUAGCUAUGCCUCUUGGAAGAUGAAGCUCUUGCCCCAGCAGGAGCUCCUAACCCUCAGCACAGAUCCCUGCAGGCAGCAAAAGGCAGUGGUGAAAGCAGACACUGCUCUUAAGGACUGCAGCUGACCCCUGUGGGCCAUUACGUGCCCCUUUUCUCUGCAGUGCUGCAGGGGCUGGGUCACACCCCCGAGCCCUGCCCCAACGGCUGCAGCUUUCCGGGCAAACGACAGCCCCUCUCAGAAGCUUCUCCUGGGCAGGAUGGGCCCAGGGCUGGUGGAGAGACUUUGCCUCCUGUCUUUCCCCCUGCUGCGGCUGCAGGCCCCACCUGCCCCUUUCCAGCCUGACCUGCACUUUGGUAGUUCUGCAUCCCUCUGGUGAGCCUGGGAGAGGAAAUGGAGUUGUGCCUAGCUGGGCUGCCCAGGCAGGGCUUCUGGACAACAAGGCACAGCUUGCUUGGAGACAGGGACAGUCAGGAAACCCCUCCCCAGACUUACCAAAUUUCACAGGAAUGACAGGGGGUUGCAACUACCCCAUCCUCUGUGGGAGCCCAAUCAGGGGAGGCCCAUUUUGGGGGGCUGUGCUGGGCAGCCUUCUUUGCAGCUGAAUCACUGCAAAUACAUAUGGAAAAUAUGUGUAGAUUCAAAGCCCCAGAGCACUGCCCGGCUCCCUUCUCUACCGUGUCACACUCACGUGCAGGAGAGGCCCCAGGCUGGGGCCAGCCCCGAGCUCCCGAGGCAAAAAGAAGAGUCU